GGUUCUCCUCGAAAUAGCUUUAGGGCUAGCCUCAAGGGAAGAUACGCGGGGGUAGAGCACUGAAUGUUCUAGGGGCCUUCACCGGUUACCGAAAACUAUCAAACUCCGAAUACCGUAGUAUUAUACUUGGGAGUCAGACUACGAGAGAUAAGUUCCGUGGUCAAAAGGGAAACAGCCCAGACCUACAGCUAAGGUCCCAAAAUGUAGAUUAAGUGGAAAAGGAUGUGGAGCUGCAUAGACAACUAGGAUGUUGGCUUAGAAGCAGCCACUCAUUUAAAGAGUGCGUAAUAGCUCACUAGUCGAGUGACUCUGCGCCGAAGAUAAACGGGGCUAAAAUCUACUACCGAAGCUUAGGAAUUACUUUAAAGUAAUUGGUAGAGGAGCAUCGUAUGCGGGCAGAAGCUGUGCUGGAAGGCAAGGUGGACUGCAUAGGAGAGAGAAUGUUGGCAUGAGUAGCGUAAGGCAGGUGAGAAUCCUGUCCGCCGAAAAUCUAAGGUUUCCUGAGGAAGGUUCGUCCACUCAGGGUUAGUCGGGACCUAAGCCGAGAGCAAGGCGCUGUAGGCGAUGGACAACAGGUUGAUAUUCCUGUACCACCGAAAGUCGUUUGAGCGAAGUGGGGACACAGAAGGAUAGGUUGAGCACGCUGUUGGUAAUGCGUGUCCAAGCGUCGAGGGAGAACUGGUAGGCAAAUCCGCGAGUUCAAUUCUGAGGCGUGAUGGGGUGGCCGCAAGGCUGGAAGCAACUGAUUUCACACUGUCAAGAAAAGCCGCUAGCGAGACCGUAGGUGCCCGUACCGCAAACCGACACAGGUAGAUGAGGAGAGAAUCCUAAGGUGAGCGAGAGAACUAUUGUUAAGGAACUCGGCAAAAUAACCCCGUAACUUCGGGAGAAGGGGUGCUCCGGAAACGGAGCCGCAGUGAAAAGUCCCAGGCGACUGUUUACCAAAAACACAGGUCUCUGCGAAAGCGAAAGCUGAAGUAUAGGGGCUGACGCCUGCCCGGUGCUGGAAGGUUAAGGGGACUGCUUAGAGCAAUCGAAGGCUUGAACUUAAGCCCCAGUAAACGGCGGCCGUAACUAUAACGGUCCUAAGGUAGCGAAAUUCCUUGUCGGGUAAGUUCCGACCCGCACGAAAGGCGUAACGAUCUGGGAACUGUCUCAACAAUAGACUCGGUGAAAUUGUAGUACCGGUAAAGAUGCCGGUUACCCGCAGCAGGACGGAAAGACCCCAUGGAGCUUUACUGUAGCUUG
rnacentral:rRNA from 1 species